UCCAGUAGUUGCUCGGUUCGUGA
rnacentral:piRNA from 1 species